GAGUUUGAUCCUGGCUCACGACGAACGCUGGCGGCGUGCUUAACACAUGCAAGUCGAACGAGAAUCUGUGGAUCGAGGAUUCGUCCAAGUGAAGCAGAGGACAGUGGCGGACGGGUGAGUAACGCGUGAGGAACCUGCCUUUCAGAGGGGGACAACAGUUGGAAACGACUGCUAAUACCGCAUGAUACAUUUGGGUGGCAUCAUCUGAAUGUCAAAGAUUUAUCGCUGAAAGAUGGCCUCGCGUCUGAUUAGCUAGUUGGUGAGGUAACGGCCCACCAAGGCGACGAUCAGUAGCCGGACUGAGAGGUUGACCGGCCACAUUGGGACUGAGAUACGGCCCAGACUCCUACGGGAGGCAGCAGUGGGGAAUAUUGGGCAAUGGGCGCAAGCCUGACCCAGCAACGCCGCGUGAAGGAAGAAGGCUUUCGGGUUGUAAACUUCUUUUAAGAGGGAAGAGCAGAAGACUGUACCUCUAGAAUAAGCCACGGCUAACUACGUGCCAGCAGCCGCGGUAAUACGUAGGUGGCAAGCGUUGUCCGGAUUUACUGGGUGUAAAGGGCGUGCAGCCGGGAAUGCAAGUCAGAUGUGAAAUCCAUGGGCUUAACCCAUGAACUGCAUUUGAAACUGUAUUUCUUGAGUGUCGGAGAGGUAGACGGAAUUCCUAGUGUAGCGGUGAAAUGCGUAGA
rnacentral:rRNA from 1 species